CCUACGGGAGGCAGCAGUGAGGAAUAUUGGUCAAUGGACGAGAGUCUGAACCAGCCAAGUAGCGUGAAGGAUGACUGCCCUAUGGGUUGUAAACUUCUUUUAUAUGGGAAUAAAAUGUUCCACGUGUGGGAUUUUGUAUGUACCAUAUGAAUAAGGAUCGGCUAACUCCGUGCCAGCAGCCGCGGUAAUACGGAGGAUCCGAGCGUUAUCCGGAUUUAUUGGGUUUAAAGGGAGCGUAGGUGGAUUGUUAAGUCAGUUGUGAAAGUUUGCGGCUCAACCGUAAAAUUGCAGUUGAAACUGGCAGUCUUGAGUACAGUAGAGGUGGGCGGAAGUCGUGGUGUAGCGGUGAAAUGCUUAGAUAUCACGAAGAGCUCCGAUUGCGAAGGCAGUUCACUGGACUGCAACUGACACUGAGGCUCGAAAGUGUGGGUAUCAAACAGGAUUAGAUACCCGAGUAGUC
rnacentral:rRNA from 1 species